UACAUGAGUGACAAGCGUUAUCCGUAAUAAUUGGGCGUAAAGGAUGUGUAGACUGUAAGAGUAGUUAUAAUUUACUAUAAUGGCUUAUCAGGUUUAAUUAUAAUACCUCUUUACUAGAGUUUAAUUAUGUAGAUAGUAUUUGUAAAUUAGCGAUAAAAUGCUGUAAGUUUAUAGGUAUUUUCAAAAGCGAAAGCAAUUUACUUUUUAAUACUGACGUUGAUGCAUGAAAGUAUGGUUAUCCAAUAGG
rnacentral:rRNA from 1 species